rnacentral:rRNA from 1 species
GCUCAGGAUGAACGCUGGCGGUAUGCUUAACACAUGCAAGUCGAACGGACGUUUUCGGACGUUAGUGGCGGACGGGUGAGUAACGCGUGAGAAUCUGCCUAUAGGUUCGGGACAACAGCUGGAAACGGCUGCUAAUACCGGAUGUGCCGAGAGGUAAAAGACUUGUUGCCUAUAGAUGAGCUCGCGUCCGAUUAGCUAGUUGGUAAGGUAAGAGCUUACCAAGGCGAUGAUCGGUAGCUGGUCUGAGAGGAUGAUCAGCCACACUGGGACUGAGACACGGCCCAGACUCCUACGGGAGGCAGCAGUGGGGAAUUUUCCGCAAUGGGCGAAAGCCUGACGGAGCAAUACCGCGUGAGGGAGGAAGGCUUUUGGGUCGUAAACCUCUUUUGUCAGGGAAGAACACAAUGACGGUACCUGACGAAUCAGCAUCGGCUAACUCCGUGCCAGCAGCCGCGGUAAUACGGAGGAUGCAAGCGUUAUCCGGAAUUAUUGGGCGUAAAGCGUCCGCAGGUGGUUAAUCAAGUCUGCUGUUAAAGCGUCCAGCUUAACUGGAUAUAGGCAGUGGAAACUGGUUGACUAGAGUUUGGUAGGGGUCACGGGAAUUCCCAGUGUAGCGGUGAAAUGCGUAGAUAUUGGGAAGAACACCAGCGGCGAAAGCGCGUGACUAGGCCUGAACUGACACUCAUGGACGAAAGCUAGGGGAGCGAAAGGGAUUAGAUACCCCUGUAGUCCUAGCUGUAAACGAUGACAACUAGGUGUUGCCCGUAUCGACCCGGGCAGUGCCGUAGCUAACGCGUUAAGUUGUCCGCCUGGGGAGUACGCACGCAAGUGUGAAACUCAAAGGAAUUGACGGGGGCCCGCACAAGCGGUGGAGUAUGUGGUUUAAUUCGAUGCAACGCGAAGAACCUUACCAGGGCUUGACAUGUCGCGAAUCCUCUUGAAAGGGAGGAGUGCCUUCGGGAGCGCGAACACAGGUGGUGCAUGGCUGUCGUCAGCUCGUGUCGUGAGAUGUUGGGUUAAGUCCCGCAACGAGCGCAACCCUCGUCGUUAGUUGCCAUCAUUCAGUUGGGCACUUUAGCGAGACUGCCGGUGACAAACCGGAGGAAGGUGGGGAUGACGUCAAGUCAGCAUGCCCCUUACGUCCUGGGCUACACACGUACUACAAUGCUGUGGACAAAGAGUUGCAAGCUAGCGAUAGCAAGCCAAUCUCAUAAACCACGGCUCAGUUCAGAUUGCAGGCUGCAACUCGCCUGCAUGAAGGCGGAAUCGCUAGUAAUCGCAGGUCAGCAUACUGCGGUGAAUACGUUCCCGGGCCUUGUACACACCGCCCGUCACACCAUGGGAGUUGGCCACGCCCGAAGUCGUUACUCCAACCGUUCGCGGAGGGGGACGCCGAAGGCAGGGCUGAUGACUGGGGUGAAGUCGUAACAAGGUAGCCGUACCGGAAGGUGUGGCUGGAUCACCUCCUUUUAGGGAGACCUCCCACUUUUAACCGAGAUUAUCUUGUUUGAUUACAAGAUGAGAGUAGGGUAAAAGCUGGUCAACCCAAGGUCGAGCAGAGUUUAGUGAAGGCUUUCAAACUUAUCUAGGUUUGGUAAUGGGCUAUUAGCUCAGGUGGUUAGAGCGCACCCCUGAUAAGGGUGAGGUCCCUGGUUCGAGUCCAGGAUGGCCCACCUAGGGGGUUUAGCUCAGUUGGUAGAGCGCCUGCUUUGCAAGCAGGAUGUCAACGGUUCGAGUCCGUUAACCUCCACUGGCUAAAGAAGCCAAGCGCGGAGAAUUCAGCACCUUAUCUAGGGAAUCUAGAGAGACUGCUGGAGAGAGUCCAGCUAUAGAACCUUGAAAACUGCAUAGCGAGAAGUCAGGUAGAAAAAGUAGGUAAUUCAACUUGAAGCGAUUCAAGAAGGAUUAGUUACUUCAUCACAGACACCAAUGAAUUUGUUAGUGGUCAAGCUAAUAAGGGCUCAUGGUGGAUACCUAGG